rnacentral:rRNA from 1 species
GACGAACGCUGGCGGCGUGCCUAAUACAUGCAAGUAGAACGCUGAAGAGAGGAGCUUGCUCUUCUUGGAUGAGUUGCGAACGGGUGAGUAACGCGUAGGUAACCUGCCUUGUAGCGGGGGAUAACUAUUGGAAACGAUAGCUAAUACCGCAUAACAAUGGAUGACACAUGUCAUUUAUUUGAAAGGGGCAAUUGCUCCACUACAAGAUGGACCUGCGUUGUAUUAGCUAGUAGGUGAGGUAAUGGCUCACCUAGGCGACGAUACAUAGCCGACCUGAGAGGGUGAUCGGCCACACUGGGACUGAGACACGGCCCAGACUCCUACGGGAGGCAGCAGUAGGGAAUCUUCGGCAAUGGGGGCAACCCUGACCGAGCAACGCCGCGUGAGUGAAGAAGGUUUUCGGAUCGUAAAGCUCUGUUGUAAGUCAAGAACGGGUGUGAGAGUGGAAAGUUCACACUGUGACGGUAGCUUACCAGAAAGGGACGGCUAACUACGUGCCAGCAGCCGCGGUAAUACGUAGGUCCCGAGCGUUGUCCGGAUUUAUUGGGCGUAAAGCGAGCGCAGGCGGUUUGAUAAGUCUGAAGUUAAAGGCUGUGGCUCAACCAUAGUUCGCUUUGGAAACUGUCAAACUUGAGUGCAGAAGGGGAGAGUGGAAUUCCAUGUGUAGCGGUGAAAUGCGUAGAUAUAUGGAGGAACACCGGUGGCGAAAGCGGCUCUCUGGUCUGUAACUGACGCUGAGGCUCGAAAGCGUGGGGAGCGAACAGGAUUAGAUACCCUGGUAGUCCACGCCGUAAACGAUGAGUGCUAGGUGUUGGAUCCUUUCCGGGAUUCAGUGCCGCAGCUAACGCAUUAAGCACUCCGCCUGGGGAGUACGACCGCAAGGUUGAAACUCAAAGGAAUUGACGGGGGCCCGCACAAGCGGUGGAGCAUGUGGUUUAAUUCGAAGCAACGCGAAGAACCUUACCAGGUCUUGACAUCCCGAUGCUAUUUCUAGAGAUAGAAAGUUACUUCGGUACAUCGGUGACAGGUGGUGCAUGGUUGUCGUCAGCUCGUGUCGUGAGAUGUUGGGUUAAGUCCCGCAACGAGCACAACCCCUAUUGUUAGUUGCCAUCAUUCAGUUGGGCACUCUAGCGAGACUGCCGGUAAUAAACCGGAGGAAGGUGGGGAUGACGUCAAAUCAUCAUGCCCCUUAUGACCUGGGCUACACACGUGCUACAAUGGUUGGUACAACGAGUUGCGAGUCGGUGACGGCGAGCUAAUCUCUUAAAGCCAAUCUCAGUUCGGAUUGUAGGCUGCAACUCGCCUACAUGAAGUCGGAAUCGCUAGUAAUCGCGGAUCAGCACGCCGCGGUGAAUACGUUCCCGGGCCU